CCUACGGGAGGCAGCAGUGAGGAAUAUUGGUCAAUGGCCGUAAGGCUGAACCAGCCAAGUCGCGUGAAGGAAGAAGGAUCUCUGGUUUGUAAACUUCUUUUAUAGGGGAAUAAAGGUAUCCACGUGUGGAUAUUUGCAUGUACCCUAUGAAUAAGCAUCGGCUAACUCCGUGCCAGCAGCCGCGGUAAUACGGAGGAUGCGAGCGUUAUCCGGAUUUAUUGGGUUUAAAGGGUGCGUAGGUUGUUUUUUAAGUCAGCGGUGAAAGUUCGUGGCUCAACCAUAAAAUUGCCGUUGAAACUGGAAGACGUGAGUGUGUUUGAGGUAGGCGGAAUGCGGGGUGUAGCGGUGAAAUGCAUAGAUAUCACGCAGAACUCCGAUUGCGAAGGCAGCUUACUAAGCCAUAACUGACACUGAAGCACGAAAGCGUGGGGAUCAAACAGGAUUAGAUACCCCAGUAGUC
rnacentral:rRNA from 1 species